rnacentral:rRNA from 1 species
GACGAAGGGGGCUAGCGUUGUUCGGAAUUACUGGGCGUAAAGCGUGCGCAGGCGGUGAUGUAAGACAGAUGUGAAAUCCCCGGGCUCAACCUGGGACCUGCAUUUGUGACUGCAUCGCUAGAGUACGGUAGAGGGGGAUGGAAUUCCGCGUGUAGCAGUGAAAUGCGUAGAUAUGCGGAGGAACACCGAUGGCGAAGGCAAUCCCCUGGACCUGUACUGACGCUCAUGCACGAAAGCGUGGGGAGCAAACAGG